rnacentral:rRNA from 1 species
GACGAACGCUGGCGGCGUGCCUAAUACAUGCAAGUCGAACGCAGUCGGGAAGGGUGAGUAACACGUGGGUAACCUCCCAACAGAGGGGAUAAAACUUGGAAACAGGUGCUAAACCGAUACUGAUGGAUGAACCCGCGGUGCAUUAGCUAUUUGGUGAGGUACCGGCUACGCAAGGCCACGAUGCAUAGCCGCCCUUAGUGGUUGAUGGGCAACUCGGGGACUGAGCAACGGCCCGGACUCCUACGGGAGGCAGCAGUAGGGAAUCUUGGGCAAUGGACGAAAGUCUGACCGAGCAACGCCGCGGGAGUGAAGAAGGUUUUCGGAUCGUAAAAUCCUGUUGUUAGAGAAGCGGUAUCUAACCAGAAAGCCACGGCUAACUACGUGCCAGCAGCCGCGGUAAUAC